GAUGAACGCUGACAGAAUGCUUAACACAUGCAAGUCAACCUGAACUUCGGUUUGGGUGGCGGACGGGUGAGUAACGCGUAGAGAACUUGCCUCACAGCUAGGGACAACAUUUGGAAACGAAUGCUAAUACCUGAUAUUAUGAUUUUAGGGCAUCCUAGAAUUAUGAAAGCUAUCUGCGCUGUGAGAGAGCUUUGGGUCCCAUUAGCUAGUUGGAGAGGUAACGGCUCACCAAGGCGAUGAUGGGUAGCCGGCCUGAGAGGGUGAACGGCCACAAGGGGACUGAGACAGGGCCCUUACGCCUACGGGAGGCAGCGGUGGGGAAUAUUGGACAACGGACCAAGAGUCUGAUCCAGGAAUUCUGUGUGCACGAUGAAGUUUUUCGGAAUGUAAAGAGCUUUCAGUUAGGAAGAAAAAAAUGACGGUACCAACAGAAGAAGUGACGGCUAAAUACGUG
rnacentral:rRNA from 1 species